ACUCCUACGGGAGGCAGCAGUGGGGAAUAUUGCACAAUGGAGGAAACUCUGAUGCAGCGACGCCGCGUGAGUGAAGAAGUAAUUCGUUAUGUAAAGCUCUAUCAGCAGGGAAGAUAGUGACGGUACCUGACUAAGAAGCUCCGGCUAAAUACGUGCCAGCAGCCGCGGUAAUACGUAUGGAGCAAGCGUUAUCCGGAUUUACUGGGUGUAAAGGGAGUGUAGGUGGCCAUGCAAGUCAGAAGUGAAAAUCCGGGGCUCAACCCCGGAACUGCUUUUGAAACUGUAA
rnacentral:rRNA from 1 species